GGGGAUUUAGCUCAGUGGUAGAACGCUUGCCUAGCAAGCAUAAGGCCCUGGGUUCGGUCCCCAGCUCCG
rnacentral:tRNA from 1 species